ACGAAGAUGCACUGGUGAUACUGAUUUAAGACCAGCGUCUGCAUCACGGAGCACACCAACAUCAGCCCAGCCACCAGGAAGCCCCACCAGGUGGGGGCCGAGGGGUUUGAAAUAAACCUGAUCAGGACGCUGUGGGGAAGAGAGAGGCACGAGGUUGGGACCCUGGAACCCUCCGGCCAGGGUCACAGCCCGGCCUCCCUGUGGUUACAGGCUGAUUCGUGUCUCUCUGAAAGCGACUAGCACCAUCGUGGUACCCUGGAGGCUCAACAAAUGUUCAUGGAACAAAUGAAUACACACCUGGAGGGGCUCCGGGCUCGGCUGCUAGGCAGCUCUCCCUCCCUGCCCCUCAUCUGAGAGCUCCUUCCAGUCCGAGCCACUGCUGUGACAGAUGGCAGAGCCCGAUGGUGGUGAAAAGCGCACGGGAGCUGCGACACUUGCCAAGGGUCACACAGGAAGUGGAGAUAGCCCCUCCCGAUCCUGGGGUUCUCUUCACUG